AAGUCGUAACAAGGUUUCCGUAGGUGAACCUGCGGAAGGAUCAUUAUAGUAAGCGAAAGCUCACACAUUUUUAGAGGAAACACGAUAAUAUUUUGACUUGAUCAACUGAUAAUAUCAAAACUUUCAACAACGGAUCUCUUGGUUCUC
rnacentral:misc_RNA from 1 species